rnacentral:tRNA from 1 species
GAGAUUCAUUAAUUAAGCUGCUAACUUAAAUUUUAGUGUUAUAUCAUUAGUAUCUCU